CGGGAUGAGCUCAAAUUUGAAAUCUGGCUGGUUUACUAGUCCGAGUUGUAAUUUAAAGAAGCGUUUUCGGUGGCAGCCUGGGUAUAAAUCCUUUGGAAUAGGGUAUCAUAGAGGGUGAGAAUCCCGUCUUUGACCUAGUGCAUGCUACUAUGUGAUACGUUUUCAAAGAGUCGAGUUGUUUGGGAAUGCAGCUCAAAAUGGGUGGUAAAUUUCAUCUAAAGCUAAAUAUUGGCGAGAGACCGAUAGCGAACAAGUACCGUGAGGGAAAGAUGAAAAGAACUUUGAAAAGAGAGUUAAACAGUGCGUGAAAUUGUUGAAAGGGAAACGUUUGACACCAGUCAUGUGGGUGGAAAAUCAGUCUUUUGCAUUGGGGAGUUGUAAAGGUUCGGACCGCAAGGCCGGCUUUUGCUUCAUCUUUGGUGUAAGGGAUGCACUUUUUCAUCUACAGGUCAACAUCAGUUUCUUUUGCUGGACAAAACUCCGAGAGAAGGUAGCAGCUCAGGCUGUGUUAUAGCUCUGGAGCGAUACAGUGAAGGGGACUGAGGUUUUCGCAGCGUGUGCUCUCGGGCAAGGCUGGAUGGGUGCUAUGGGAUCGUUCGGGGUACAAUGCCUGGCAUUUUGCUUCGUGUCUUUUCUAUACUCGCUCAACUCAGCUC
rnacentral:rRNA from 2 species